rnacentral:misc_RNA from 1 species
GAUGAAGAACGUAGCGAAAUGCGAUACGUAAUGUGAAUUGCAGAAUUCAGUGAAUCAUCGAAUCUUUGAACGCACAUUGCGCCCGCCAGCACUCUGGCGGGCAUGCCUGUUCGAGCGUCAUUUCAACCCUUAAGCCUAGCUUAGUGUUGGGAAUCUGCUGUAUUGCAGUUCCUCAAAUACAACGGCGGAUCUGUAACAUCCUCUGAGCGUAGUAAAUUUUUAUCUCGCUUUUGUUAGGUGUUGCAGCUCUCAGCCGCUAAACCCCCCAAUUUUUGUGGUUGACCUCGGAUCAGGUAGGAAUACCCGCUGAACUUAAGCAUAUCAAAUAGCGGAGGA